rnacentral:rRNA from 1 species
UAUGGGGGGGGCAAGCGUUGUUCGGAAUUACUGGGCGUAAAGGGCUUGUAGGUGGCCAACUAAGUCAGACGUGAAAUCCCUCGGCUUAACCGGGGAACUGCGUCUGAUACUGGAUGGCUGGAGUGUGGGAGAGGGAUGCGGAAUUCCAGGUGUAGCGGUGAAAUGCGUAGAUAUCUGGAGGAACACCGGUGGCGAAGGCGGCAUCCUGGACCAUUACUGACACUGAAAAGCGAAAGCCAGGGGAGCAAACGGG